UGGGGAAUCUUGGACAAUGGGCGCAAGCCUGAUCCAGCCAUGCCGCGUGGAUGAUGAAGGCCUUAGGGUUGUAAAAUCCUUUCGCCGAGGACGAUAAUGACGGUACUCGGAGAAGAAGCUCCGGCUAACUUCGUGCCAGCAGCCGCGGUAAUACGAAGGGGGCUAGCGUUGUUCGGAUUUACUGGGCGUAAAGCGCGUGUAGGCGGGUCGUUAAGUUGGGGGUGAAAUCCCGAGGCUCAACCUCGGAACUGCCUUCAAAACUGGCGACCUGGACCUAAGUAGAGGCAAGUGGAAUUGCGGGUGUAGAGGUGAAAUUCGUAGAUAUUCGCAGGAACACCAGUGGCGAAGGCGACUUGCUGGACUUAUGGUGACGCUGAGACGCGAAAGCGUGGGGAGCAAACAGGAUUAGAUACCCGAGUAGUCCCUGAGCGGGCUGGCAAGGCGCAU
rnacentral:rRNA from 1 species